GGCCUCUUGGUCUAGAGGUAUGAUUCUCGCUUUGGGUUCCGCUCAAUCGGAAUAUGCGAGAGGCCCCGGGUUCGAAUCCCGGAGAGGCCC